rnacentral:rRNA from 1 species
UGAGGAAUAUUGGACAAUGGGCGCAAGCCUGAUCCAGCCAUGCUGCGUGCAGGAAGAAGCAUCUAUGGUGUGUAAACUGCUUUUGUACGGGAAGAAACACUCCUUCGUGAAGGAGCUUGACGGUACCGUAAGAAUAAGGAUCGGCUAACUCCGUGCCAGCAGCCGCGGUAAUACGGAGGAUCCAAGCGUAAUCCGGAAUCAUUGGGUUUAAAGGGUCCGUAGGCGGUUUAGUAAGUCAGUGGUGAAAGCCCAUCGCUCAACGGUGGAACGGCCAUUGAUACUGCUAAACUUGAAUUAUUAGGAAGUAACUAGAAUAUGUAGUGUAGCGGUGAAAUGCUUAGAGAUUACAUGGAAUACCAAUUGCGAAGGCAGCCCCCUGGGUCAAGAUUGACGCUCAUGCACGAAAGCGUGGGGAGCAAACA